UCUCUAUCCUAUUUUGAGGAGUGUAUCUCUGCUCUUUCUUUGAUCCCAUUUGAGUAAUGGAAAUUUUCCACAAAGCCACCACGAGAAGUACCUCUUCGUCGGACUUCGAGUUCACCAUCUUUCUAUCCCCUCGAAUGGCCUCCUCCAAUCUCUGUCCAGCCGACAAGCUCUUUUACAAGGGCCAGCUUCUCCCUCUCCAUCUUCCCCCGCCUCUCCAUGGUUCGAACUCCUCUGCUAGCCUCGUCCAGCCCUUCAUCUUGCUCCAACUGCACUACCACCGCUUCUCGAGACUCGACCUGCAGCUCCAAUGACUCCAGCUCCUCUUUUUCCGGUGAUCUCGUCUUGUUCACUGAGUGUGAUUCGUCGCAGCCGAGCUCGGUGACCGAGGAAGACAAGUUUAAGCGUCUCAACCACAAUCAUCACCAUCAGAGCCCAUAGAUCAAGAAAUCCAAGUACUUCUCUCURGCGAGGUUCUAUUCUGUGUUUCGCAAAGACAACAACAAGCAUAGAGACCAAGAGAAUGUAUAGGGUCCUUCUUCUGUGAAGCGGAUGAGCGCGUCGGCCAAGGACGUGAUAAGGAAGUAUUUGAAAAAGGUGAAAUGUUUAUACGAGAAGUUAUCACAGAAGCAGCAGCAGCAACAGAAGACGGCGACGAUAGUAACAGUGGCUUCGUUGGCGAUGAGGACAGAGAAGUCCGGGAAAAACAAAGAAAUCUCUGCUUCAAGUACGAGGAAAGAGAACAACAGUGUAUUCUCUGGAAACCUGAAAUACCCACGAAGGAAAUACUGUGUUUCUUCAGAAAUCAGAACAAAACGCUAGUGAGUAAUAAUUAGAUCUGAAAGUUAGUGUUAAUUUUGCUCAAAAAGAAUGUAUCUAAAUCUGUUUAAUUUUUGUUCCUUUCUAAUCUCAAGAACUUAAAACCAGAUGUCUCUUA